rnacentral:rRNA from 1 species
AUUGAACGCUGGCGGCAGGCCUAACACAUGCAAGUCGAGCGGAUGAAGGGAGCUUGCUCCUGGAUUCAGCGGCGGACGGGUGAGUAAUGCCUAGGAAUCUGCCUGGUAGUGGGGGAUAACGUCCGGAAACGGGCGCUAAUACCGCAUACGUCCUGAGGGAGAAAGUGGGGGAUCUUCGGACCUCACGCUAUCAGACGAGCCUAGGUCGGAUUAGCUAGUUGGUGGGGUAAAGGCCUACCAAGGCGACGAUCCGUAACUGGUCUGAGAGGAUGAUCAGUCACACGGGAACUGAGACACGGUCCAGACUCCUACGGGAGGCAGCAGUGGGGAAUAUUGGACAAUGGGCGAAAGCCUGAUCCAGCCAUGCCGCGUGUGUGAAGAAGGUCUUCGGAUUGUAAAGCACUUUAAGUUGGGAGGAAGGGCAGUAAGUUAAUACCUUGCUGUUUUGACGUUACCAACAGAAUAAGCACCGGCUAACUUCGUG